rnacentral:rRNA from 1 species
CCUACGGGUGGCAGCAGUGAGGAAUAUUGGUCAAUGGCCGCGAGCCUGAACCAGCCAAGUAGCGUGAAGGAUGACUGCCCUAUGGGUUGUAAACUUCUUUUAUAAGGGAAUAAAGUGAGGCACGUGUGCCUUUUUGUAUGUACUUUAUGAAUAAGGAUCGGCUAACUCCGUGCCAGCAGCCGCGGUAAUACGGAGGAUGCGAGCGUUAUCCGGAUUUAUUGGGUUUAAAGGGAGCGUAGGUGGUUUGUUAAGUCAGUGGUGAAAGUUUGCGGCUCAACCGUAAAAUUGCAGUUGAUACUGGAAGUCUUGAGUACAGUUGAGGUAGGCGGAAUGCGUGGUGUAGCGGUGAAAUGCUUAGAUAUCACGAAGAACUCCGAUUGCGAAGGCAGCUUACUAAGC